rnacentral:lncRNA from 1 species
UAAGACGCCAACAUAAAUAAAACCACAGGAGGACUUUAUCUUUAAUCCAACAAGGAGUCGAUGGCAGCGAGACUGUGUCGGCUCUUUUCCACAUCCAUCCUCUGAACACAGGAAUGAAGUGAUCUCACUGGGCCUUUGCACGAGCCCAGGAGAGAAGUACUGCUGGUCGUCCUCACUCUGAAGCGGUGGUAAAGCAGAGGCUCACCGAGGUCAGCAUCCCGCUCAGGGACAGCGUAGC